GACGAACGCUGGCGGCGUGCCUAACACAUGCAAGUCGAGCGAGAAUCUUUCAUUAGAACCCUUCGGGGUGAAGAUGGAAGAGGAGAGCGGCGGACGGGUGAGUAACGCGUGAGCAACCUGCCUUAAGGAGGGGGAUAACACAGGGAAACCUGUGCUAAUACCGCAUAAUAUAUUGAAACCGCAUGGUUUUAAUAUCAAAACUGAGGUGCCUUAAGAUGGGCUCGCGUCCAAUUAGCUAGUUGGAGGGGUAACGGCCCACCAAGGCAACGAUUGGUAGCCGGACUGAGAGGUUGAACGGCCACAUUGGAACUGAGAAACGGUCCAGACUCCUACGGGAGGCAGCAGUGGGGGAUAUUGCGCAAUGGGGGAAACCCUGACGCAGCAACGCCGCGUGAAGGAAGAAGGCCUUCGGGUUGUAAACUUUUGUCUUUUGGGAAGAAGAA
rnacentral:rRNA from 1 species